rnacentral:sRNA from 1 species
GUGUUGAUUCAAUGGCUGCUCUACAAUGGUGCCUGAGAUUUUGCUGAGCUGUGGGUGGCAGGAGUUUUACAACAGUCACAGCUCUGUCUCAGCCUCAAGGAAAAAGUCACAAGCUUUCAGGUUGCUGAACGGCUGAUGACCAUCGCCUAUGAAAGUGGUGUUAACCUCUUUGAUACUGCCGAAGUCUAUGCUGCUGGAAAGGCUGAAGUGAUUCUGGGGAGCAUCAUCAAGAAGAAAGGCUGGAGGAGGUCCAGUCUGGUCAUAACAACCAAACUCUACUGGGGUGGAAAAGCUGAAACAGAAAGAGGGCUGUCAAGAAAGCAUAUUAUUGAAGGAUUGAAGGGCUCCCUCCAGAGGCUGCAGCUCGAGUAUGUGGAUGUGGUCUUUGCAAAUCGACCGGACAGUAACACUCCCAUGGAAGAAAUUGUCCGAGCCAUGACACAUGUGAUAAACCAAGGCAUGGCGAUGUACUGGGGCACCUCGAGAUGGAGUGCUAUGGAGAUCAUGGAAGCCUAUUCUGUAGCAAGACAGUUCAAUAUGAUCCCACCGGUCUGU